rnacentral:lncRNA from 1 species
UUUCCUAUAGUGGCCAUGCUAGCUGCUGCUUUCAAUAGUGUGUUCCACACAGUUCCAGUGGAUUCUGAAGAUGAUUAGUAGAAUUGAUGCUUCCAGACAAGAAUAAGUGAAUAACCCCUUAAAAGCCACUGAGAAGUGAGAAAGCAACCUCAGCUAACCUAACCUCUCCAUGAUUGCAUCAAUUCCCACAGGCUUGGAUUAUUCUGUCAGCGCAUUUCUUGAUGAGAGAAAAAUGAUACAAUCAAUUGCUAUGCUUUUUUCAGGUCCUGUGAGUGUCAUUAGCAGCUAAUUCUUUGGCGUGCAAUCCAUCUGAGACACUAUGUGCUCCAAUCACGUCCUUUUCAACGUAAUAGGAGAUGCAGACAAAGUUUUCUGGUGGUAUGAAAUUGAACAUGAAAG